GCCAUCUACACUUAUGCAGGAGACAACAAUGUUAGACAGGAAUGAGGAGUCAGGCAGGCCUUGCUUGGUACAAAUAGAUGUCAUGUGGCCUGCUAUACAAGGCUGCAUAUAGUUAUUGGGCAUAGGCCUUACUAUGUACUAAAACUUAAGUUAAAAGAAAAUUUGGGACAACCUGAAGUGAUGCUUCUCCACAGAUGCUAACUCAUCGUUGAUGACAUUG